rnacentral:RNase_P_RNA from 1 species
AAUCUGGUGUUGAGGAAAGUCCGGGCUUCACAGGGCAGGAUGCCGGAUAACGUCCGGUGGGAGCAAUCCUAAGGAAAGUGCAACAGAAAGUAUACCGCCUGCCGUAAGGUAGGUAAGGGUGAAAUGGCAGUGUAAGAGACUACCGCUUGUCUGGUAACAGAUGAGGCAUUGUAAACCCCAUCCGAAGCAACUCUAAAAUGAGAUUAGGCGGCCCGCUAUUACUACUCAUGGUAAGAGGCUAGAGGCAAUUGGCGACAGUUGCAGUAGAUAGAUGAUCACUCUCGACAUAACCCGGCUUACGAU